AUUUCUCCUUAUCAACUCUCUCACUCUUCAGAGUUCAAUGGCCGCAUUUUGUAGAGCGAUUUCAUUAGGAUAGCAUACUGGUGGAUCGGCCACAUGUUUGGACAUGUGAUACGUGUCGAAAUACUUGGAAAUGAGCCUAACUGCCUUGUUUUUAUCCCCAGUGCAGUCCCUUAUUUUUCGAGACUGUCACGGAAUUUCAAUGUUUGCACCUUUCCAUGGAUUGCAUAGAGGGCAGUUCUCAGAUCAUGCAACAGAUCGAGCCUGGUCCGUGCAAGUUGUUUGGGUAGUAAGUAUAGUAUCUUGUCAUUCAGCAGAACAGUUAGCGCAACCACGACCAAUCGGAAGAUUCUUUCUGUUCAGUGUCGCAGCACCGAAAACAGGGCGAGCAAACAAGCAUUUUCUUUUUCAACUUUUCUCGACAAUUUUCUGGAAUUUCUCAUCACUCCGGAGAACAAUAUUCAGACAUCUACAGCCAGG